UGGGGAAUUUUGGACAAUGGGGGCAACCCUGAUCCAGCCAUGCCGCGUGCGGGAAGAAGGCCUUCGGGUUGUAAACCGCUUUUAGCCGGGAAGAAAAGGCGCGGGCUAAUACCCUGUGUUUUUGACGGUACCGGCGGAAUAAGCACCGGCUAACUACGUGCCAGCAGCCGCGGUAAUACGUAGGGUGCGAGCGUUAAUCGGAAUUACUGGGCGUAAAGCGUGCGCAGGCGGUUCGUUGUGUCGGCGGUGAAAGCCCCGGGCUUAACCUGGGAAUGGCCGUUGAAACUGGCGAACUGGAGUGUGGCAGAGGGGGGUGGAAUUCCGCGUGUAGCAGUGAAAUGCGUAGAGAUGCGGAGGAACACCGAUGGCGAAGGCAGCCCCCUGGGCUAACACUGACGCUCAGGCACGAAAGCGUGGGGAGCAAACAGGAUUAGAUACCCUGGUAGUCCACGCCCUAAACCAUGUCAACUGGGUGUUCGGGAAGCGAUUUCUGAGUACCGUAGCUAACGCGUGAAGUUGACCGCCUGGGGAGUACGGCCGCAAGGUUAA
rnacentral:rRNA from 1 species